rnacentral:rRNA from 1 species
UACGUAGGGUGCAAGCGUUGUCCGGAAUUAUUGGGCGUAAAGAGCUCGUAGGCGGUUUGUCGCGUCUGCUGUGAAAACGCGAGGCUCAACCUCGCGCCUGCAGUGGGUACGGGCAGACUAGAGUGCGGUAGGGGAGAUUGGAAUUCCUGGUGUAGCGGUGGAAUGCGCAGAUAUCAGGAGGAACACCGAUGGCGAAGGCAGAUCUCUGGGCCGUAGCUGACGCUGAGGAGCGAAAGCAUGGGGAGCGAACAGG